rnacentral:rRNA from 1 species
UCCGGUUGAUCCUGCCGGAGGCCAUUGCUAUUGGAGUCCGAUUUAGCCAUGCUAGUCGUACGAGUUCAUACUCGUGGCGAAUAGCUCAGUAACACGUGGCCAAUCUCCCCUUCAGCGGCGGACACCCUCGGGAAACUGAGGCUAAUCCGCCAUACACCUCUCAGACCGGACUGUCGAGAGGUCAAAACGCUUUCCAGCGCUGAAGGAUGAGGCUGCGGCCGAUAGGUAGACGGUGGGGUAACGGCCCACCGUGCCCAUAAUCGGUACGGGUCGUGAGAGCGAGAACCCGGAGACGGAAUCUGAGACAAGAUUCCGGGCCCUACGGGGCGCAGCAGGCGCGAAACCUUUACACUGCACGCCAGUGCGAUAAGGGGACUCCAAGUGCGAGGGCAUAUCGUCCUCGCUAUCCUGUACUGUAGGGUAGUACAGUAUCAAGAGCUGGGCAAGACCGGUGCCAGCCGCCGCGGUAAUACCGGCAGCUCAAGUGAUGGCCACUCUUAUUGGGCCUAAAGCGUCCGUAGCUGGCCGCGCAAGUCCGUCGGGAAAUCCAUCAGCCCAACUGAUGGGCGUCCGGCGGAAACUGCACGGCUUGGGACCGGAAGGCUCGAGAGGUACGUCCGGGGUAGGAGUGAAAUCCCGUAAUCCCGAACGGACCACCGAUGGCGAAAGCAUCUCGAGAAAACGGAUCCGACAGUGAGGGACGAAAGCUAGGGUCUCGAACCGGAUUAAAUACCCGGGUAGUCCUAGCCGUAAACGAUGUUCGCUAGGUGUGGCACUGGCCACGAGCCAGUGCUGCGCCGUANGGAANCCNAAAANCGAACCGCCUGG